AUUGAACGCUGGCGGCAGGCCUAACACAUGCAAGUCGAACGAGUGGCGGACGGGUGAGUAAUGUCUGGGAAACUGCCUGAUGGAGGGGUAUAAAUCCUGGAAACGGUAGCUAAUACCGCAUACCUUCGGAUGUGUCCAUAUGGGAUUAGCUAGUAGGUGGGGGAACGGCUCACCUAUGCGACGAUCCCUAGCUGGUCUGAGAGGAUGACCGGCCACACUGGAACUGAGACACGGUCCAGACGCCUACGGUAGGCAGCAGUGGGGAAUAUUGCACAAUGGGCGCAAGCCUGAUGCAGCCAUGCCGCGUGUAUGAAGAAGGCCUUCGGGUUGUAAAGUACUUUCAGCGGGGAGGCGUUACCCGCAGAAGAAGCACCGGCUAACUCCGUGCCAGCAGCCGCGGUAAUUC
rnacentral:rRNA from 1 species